rnacentral:rRNA from 1 species
GACGGGGCCGCACAAGCGGUGGAGUAUGUGGUUUAAUUCGAUGCAACGCGAAGAACCUUACCUGGUCUUGACAUCCCGGAGACCCGUUAGGAAACGUAGGGGGUGGCUUCCAUCUGGAAGAAUCUGGAGACAGGUGCUGCAUGGCUGUCGUCAGCUCGUGUCGUGAGAUGUUGGGUUAAGUCCCGCAACGAGCGCAACCCUUGCCUUUAGUUGCCAGCAGUUCGGCUGGGCACUCUAAAGGGACUGCCGGUGUUAAACCGGAGGAAGGUGGGGAUGACGUCAAGUCCUCAUGGCCUUUAUGACCAGGGCUACACACGUACUACAAUGGCCGAUACAAAGGGCAGCGACACUGCGAGGUGAAGCCAAUCCCGUAAAAUCGGUCUCAGUCCGGAUUGGAGUCUGCAACUCGACUCCAUGAAGUUGGAAUCGCUAGUAAUCGUGGAUCAGCAUGCCACGGUGAAUACGUUCCCGGGCCUU